rnacentral:rRNA from 1 species
AUUGAACGCUGGCGGCAGGCCUAACACAUGCAAGUCGAGCGGAGCGGCGGACGGGUGAGUAAGGCCUAGGAAGCUGCCUGGUAGUGGGGGAUAACGUCAGGAAACGGGAGCUAAUACCGCAUACUAUGCGAUGAGCCAAGGGCGGAUUAGCUAGUUGGGGGGGUAAAGGCCGACCACGGCGACGAUCCGUAACUGGUCUGAGAGGAUGAUCAGUCACACUGGAACUGAGACACGGUCCAGCCUCCUACGGUCGGCAGCAGGGGGGAAUAUUGGACAAUGGGCGAAAGCCGUAUCCAGCCAUGCCGCGUGUGUGAAGAAGGUCUUCGGAUUUUAAAGCACUUUAAGUUGGUAGGCGUUACCAACAGAAUAAGCACCGGCUAACUUCGUGCCAGCAGCCGCGGUAAUAC